rnacentral:rRNA from 1 species
UACGUAGGGACCGAGCGUUGUCCGGAUUCAUUGGGCGUAAAGAGCUCGUAGGCGGCUGUUCAAGUCGAACGUGAAAACUCGGAGCUCAACUCCGAGCCUGCGUUCGAUACUGGACGGCUAGAGUCUGGUAGGGGGAUCUGGAAUUCCUGGUGUAGCGGUGAAAUGCGUAGAGAUCAUGAGGAAGACCAGUGGCGAAGGCGGGUCUCUGGACAGUUCCUGACACUGAGGCACGAAGGCCAGGGGAGCAAACGGG